rnacentral:rRNA from 1 species
UUAAGCGACUAAGCGUACACGGUGGAUGCCCUGGCAGUCAGAGGCGAUGAAGGACGUGCUAAUCUGCGAUAAGCGUCGGUAAGGUGAUAUGAACCGUUAUAACCGGCGAUUUCCGAAUGGGGAAACCCAGUGUGAUUCGUCACACUAUCAUUAACUGAAUCCAUAGGUUAAUGAGGCGAACCGGGGGAACUGAAACAUCUAAGUACCCCGAGGAAAAGAAAUCAACCGAGAUUCCCCCAGUAGCGGCGAGCGAACGGGGAGCAGCCCAGAGCCUGAAUCAGUGUGUGUGUUAGUGGAAGCGUCUGGAAAGGCGCGCGAUACAGGGUGACAGCCCCGUACACAAAAAUGCACAUGCUGUGAGCUCGAUGAGUAGGGCGGGACACGUGGUAUCCUGUCUGAAUAUGGGGGGACCAUCCUCCAAGGCUAAAUACUCCUGACUGACCGAUAGUGAACCAGUACCGUGAGGGAAAGGCGAAAAGAACCCCGGCGAGGGGAGUGAAAAAGAACCUGAAACCGUGUACGUACAAGCAGUGGGAGCACAGAGCAAUCUGUGUGACUGCGUACCUUUUGUAUAAUGGGUCAGCGACUUAUAUUCUGUAGCAAGGUUAACCGAAUAGGGGAGCCGAAGGGAAACCGAGUCUUAACUGGGCGUUAAGUUGCAGGGUAUAGACCCGAAACCCGGUGAUCUAGCCAUGGGCAGGUUGAAGGUUGGGUAACACUAACUGGAGGACCGAACCGACUAAUGUUGAAAAAUUAGCGGAUGACUUGUGGCUGGGGGUGAAAGGCCAAUCAAACCGGGAGAUAGCUGGUUCUCCCCGAAAGCUAUUUAGGUAGCGCCUCGUGAAUUCAUCUCCGGGGGUAGAGCACUGUUUCGGCAAGGGGGUCAUCCCGACUUACCAACCCGAUGCAAACUGCGAAUACCGGAGAAUGUUAUCACGGGAGACACACGGCGGGUGCUAACGUCCGUCGUGAAGAGGGAAACAACCCAGACCGCCAGCUAAGGUCCCAAAGUCAUGGUUAAGUGGGAAACGAUGUGGGAAGGCCCAGACAGCCAGGAUGUUGGCUUAGAAGCAGCCAUCAUUUAAAGAAAGCGUAAUAGCUCACUGGUCGAGUCGGCCUGCGCGGAAGAUGUAACGGGGCUAAACCAUGCACCGAAGCUGCGGCAGCGACGCUUAUGCGUUGUUGGGUAGGGGAGCGUUCUGUAAGCCUGCGAAGGUGUGCUGUGAGGCAUGCUGGAGGUAUCAGAAGUGCGAAUGCUGACAUAAGUAACGAUAAAGCGGGUGAAAAGCCCGCUCGCCGGAAGACCAAGGGUUCCUGUCCAACGUUAAUCGGGGCAGGGUGAGUCGACCCCUAAGGCGAGGCCGAAAGGCGUAGUCGAUGGGAAACAGGUUAAUAUUCCUGUACUUGGUGUUACUGCGAAGGGGGGACGGAGAAGGCUAUGUUGGCCGGGCGACGGUUGUCCCGGUUUAAGCGUGUAGGCUGGUUUUCCAGGCAAAUCCGGAAAACUAAGGCUGAGGCGUGAUGACGAGGCACUACGGUGCUGAAGCAACAAAUGCCCUGCUUCCAGGAAAAGACCUCUAAGCAUCAGGUAACAUCAAAUGUACCCCAAACCGUCACAGGUGGUCAGGUAGAGAAUACCAAGGCGCUUGAGAGAACUCGGGUGAAGGAACUAGGCAAAAUGGUGCCGUAACUUCGGGAGAAGGCACGCUGAUAUGUAGGUGAAGCGACUUGCUCGUGGAGCUGAAAUCAGUCGAAGAUACCAGCUGGCUGCAACUGUUUAUUCAAAACACAGCACUGUGCAAACACGAAAGUGGACGUAUACGGUGUGACGCCUGCCCGGUGCCGGAAGGUUAAUUGAUGGGGUCAGCGCAAGCGAAGCUCUUGAUCGAAGCCCCGGUAAACGGCGGCCGUAACUAUAACGGUCCUAAGGUAGCGAAAUUCCUUGUCGGGUAAGUUCCGACCUGCACGAAUGGCGUAAUGAUGGCCAGGCUGUCUCCACCCGAGACUCAGUGAAAUUGAACUCGCUGUGAAGAUGCAGUGUACCCGCGGCAAGACGGAAAGACCCCGUGAACCUUUACUAUAGCUUGACACUGAACAUUGAGCCUUGAUGUGUAGGAUAGGUGGGAGGCUUGGAAGUGUGGACGCCAGUCUGCAUGGAGCCGACCUUGAAAUACCACCCUUUAAUGUUUGAUGUUCUAACGUUGACCCGUAAUCCGGGUUGCGGACAGUGUCUGGUGGGUAGUUUGACUGGGGCGGUCUCCUCCUAAAGAGUAACGGAGGAGCACGAAGGUUGGCUAAUCCUGGUCGGACAUCAGGAGGUUAGUGCAAUGGCAUAAGCCAGCUUGACUGCGAGCGUGACGGCGCGAGCAGGUGCGAAAGCAGGUCAUAGUGAUCCGGUGGUUCUGAAUGGAAGGGCCAUCGCUCAACGGAUAAAAGGUACUCCGGGGAUAACAGGCUGAUACCGCCCAAGAGUUCAUAUCGACGGCGGUGUUUGGCACCUCGAUGUCGGCUCAUCACAUCCUGGGGCUGAAGUAGGUCCCAAGGGUAUGGCUGUUCGCCAUUUAAAGUGGUACGCGAGCUGGGUUUAGAACGUCGUGAGACAGUUCGGUCCCUAUCUGCCGUGGGCGCUGGAGAACUGAGGGGGGCUGCUCCUAGUACGAGAGGACCGGAGUGGACGCAUCACUGGUGUUCGGGUUGUCAUGCCAAUGGCACUGCCCGGUAGCUAAAUGCGGAAGAGAUAAGUGCUGAAAGCAUCUAAGCACGAAACUUGCCCCGAGAUGAGUUCUCCCUGACUCCUUGAGAGUCCUGAAGGAACGUUGAAGACGACGACGUUGAUAGGCCGGGUGUGUAAGCGCAGCGAUGCGUUGAGCUAACCGGUACUAAUGAACCGUGAGGCUUAACCUU